UACGGAGGAUGCAAGCGUUAUCCGGAAUGAUUGGGCGUAAAGCGUCCGCAGGUGGCAAUGUAAGUCUGCUGUUAAAGAGUGAAGCUCAACCUCAUAAGAGCAGUGGAAACUACAUAGCUAGAGUGCGUUCGGGGCAAAGGGAAUUCCUGGUGUAGCGGUGAAAUGCGUAGAGAUCAGGAAGAACACCGGUGGCGAAAGCGCUUUGCUAGGCCGCAACUGACACUGAGGGACGAAAGCUAGGGGAGCGAAUGGG
rnacentral:rRNA from 1 species